UACGGGGGGGGUAAGCGUUGUUCGGAAUUACUGGGCGUAAAGGGCUCGUAGGCGGCCAACUAAGUCAUACGUGAAAUCCCUCAGCUUAACUGGGGAACUGCGUGUGAUACUGGAUGGCUUGGGAUUUGGGGAGAGGGAUGCGGAAUUCCAGGUGUAGCGGUGAAAUGCGCAGAUAUCAGGAAGAACACCCGUGGCGAAGGCGGCUCUCUGGGACGGUACUGACGCUGAGACGCGAAAGCGUGGGGAGCGAACAGG
rnacentral:rRNA from 1 species